UAGGGAAUCUUCGGCAAUGGACGGAAAGUCUGACCGAGCAACGCCGCGUGAGUGAAGAAGGUUUUCGGAUCGUAAAACUCUGUUGGUAGAGAAGAACGUUGGUGAGAGUGGAAAGCUCAUCAAGUGACGGUAACUACCCAGAAAGGGACGGCUAACUACGUGCCUG
rnacentral:rRNA from 1 species